UACGUAGGUGGCAAGCGUUUGUCCGGAUUUACUGGGCGUAAAGGGCGCGUAGGCGGCAAUUUCAAGUCAGCUGUGAAAUCUCCGAGCUUAACUCGGAACGGUCAGCUGAUACUGCUUUGCUAGAGUGCAGAAAGGGCAAUCGGAAUUCUUGGUGUAGCGGUGAAAUGCGUAGAUAUCAAGAGGAACACCUGAGGCGAAGGCGGGUUGCUAGGCUGACACUGACGCUGAGGCGCGAAAGCUAGGGUAGCAAACGGG
rnacentral:rRNA from 1 species